UUCCCUCCGCGCGGAGCCUCUGGGAUGUGCAGAUGGAAGGGAGGGCCUUAGGGACAGGGAAGGAUGCAGAGAAACCUCAGAAGUUCACUCUGAAUGAACUGGACUGUUGGGUAAUCCACCAGGAUGAAUGGAUGUCCUCUCAUUCCAUCAAGAGACUGGGGAUUUGGGUCUUGGAUCCCCGAUCUGGCCUUGCACGGGAUUGCCCAGUGCUGGGUUCUCAUUGACCCUCAGGAAAGAGUUGUUCCUGGAAUAGAGACUUGACGCUUGGCACGGCAGCUCUCACCUGAGGGGUCACAUUGUGUCCUAUUCCUGGUUCCAGGCCUUUCCCGGAGGUCUUCCUCUUCUGUUUUGCCAUCCUCCCUGCGGGUGCAGGACUUGGUUGGGAGAGCUAGAAGUCACCGCACGCCAUCUCCCGGCCAGCAAGCCUGGAGUAAGGAUCCGCAUGCAGGUGAAAUCAGAAGUUUGAGGCCGACCUGCGUAGGUGCUCCAAACCAAGAAAGAAGGGCAAGACAAAAAGGCCUGGAAAGGAGGGGCGGCUCCCGGCUCCUCUUUGUCGCCCACACUUCCCGCCCGGAAGCCGGGUGGGGCCAACAUAUCCCACCAGGAUCCCCGAGAAGGACCCGGCUGAGACGGGACCAUCCCUUAGGAGGCCAGAGUUCUGGAUCUGAUUAAGAAUUCCUAUUUUGGAGAAGGAAGAAAGUUCUAGAUUUGAGAGGAUAUUGGAGGAGAAACUAAAGACCUAUGCACCAAGCAAUAGCCUCUGCGUGGACCUGUGUGAGACGGACGUGACCUACAUACAUUUGGACGAGACACCUUGUCACAGACCUUGUCCUUCCUUCUUAUGGGAAACAUUCCCUCUGCCACCGCCUGCUCUUAAGAACCGCCCCCCCAUCCCAAUCCCACGAACCAUAGGGCUUUCUACCACACCCUCUGUCUUGCCCCCCGCUUCCCCCUUCUGCUGUGCCUUUGGCCUCAGCCAUUCUUGUUUGCUCCAUUAUCUUCCAGCCGGAUACAGAGUGAAUAGUUAACUACACUUAGGUCAAAUGGGAUUUUAAUGUUCGUUCCUGUUCCUUCUAAAGCGGCCAGUGUUUGUGUUGCUAUGUGAGCAGUGUUGGAAUAGUUCUGUCCUCUCGCUUAUUUGGGAUCUGGCCCCCUUGGGUUCCAGAGCGAUGCAGAUCAGUGCCGGAGUUCUUCAGGGCUCUCAGAUGUCGGGGACAUCAGAGGGGCCCCUGGCAGGGGAGCUCGCUCAGGAAGGCUGGCGUCCUCCGUGUCCAGCUUCCUUGGUUUGGAUCACACGCAGGUGUAUGUCUGGAAGAGCGAAAAACACUACUUGUUCAUCCCAGCUAUAUUCCAUUUUUUUAAACUGAAGUUGUGACGUAUAAUCGACACACCGUUAUAUUUGUUUCCCAGCUAUCUUCUGUUGAUGCAGACACCCAGCCUGCUGUGAAGACCCUCCCCCCCGCCCCCACAGGUGGCAGUUGGGACCCAUGCCUGAACACAGUUUUUCCUUGCAGACUCGCUGGCUACCAGAGCACGUGUGUUUAUUGAGCACCCUCUUCCCCCAGGAUGCUGACGGCACUCCUGACAGCAGACGGGGCCCCGCAAGACAUGAGUCGAAUAUUCCGUCACCACCAUACGCGUGGCUGAAAACACCUCUAGAUUCGAUCUUAGCUACACUGCAGAACCAACGAUGUCCGUACGUCCCGCUUCCCAAACUAAUGGAUGGCUCGUCUUUGUAGAAGGAAUUAAAGCUGUACACGUCUGUCUUCUUGUUGUAGGGAAUGGGUUCCUAUGACCAUUUAGUGACAUCAGUAUCUUCUAAGUGGAACAUUGGGGACCUUCUUGGCAUGUCAGAUUCACCACAAAAUGAGUGAGAGGACCCUGUUGAGGACACUUUGUGCUGUUGAAAUGUAAGGCUUGUCUGUGGGCUUCUCAUAUCACUUCCGUGUCUCAUAUCGCUUCCAUGAAGGAGGGCUUAUUUCAAGUUGCAUUGGAAGCAAGGUAGACAGGAAACAGUCUUCCCAGCAGCUGCCCAGCAAGACCUUUCUGGAAGCCCAAAGCCAUUCAAGGUAUCCAUUCGCUACAGCAUUUCCAGGAAGAGCAAGAACUCUGCCACCACAGCCAUUUUGACCUUCUGCUCAGCAGCAGGACCCAGUCCUCCUGCUUCUAGAGUAUUCUGCACUGGUGAUGAGCUGAGGGAGCUGCUCCAGUUUGCCCAGGGUCGAGUGCUUUCCUGGGACACACGACGUUCAGUGAUAAACCUGGGACAGCCCUGGGCAAACCAGAACAAUUGUCACCUUACUGCGUGACCAGAUGACACUGCCUUUGCUGCUGCCUCUAUUCAUCCAGCCAGCUGCCAUUCAGAACCCUUGUGUCUGACCACAUCAUUGACCACCGGGCAGGCGACAGAUGGAUGCCGUGGGAUCAAGCACCAAUCUGACCAAAUCCGGUGUUUUCCAGGGUGGUAGGGUUCCAUGAUAUUGUAUAAAAACCUGGGUGUAGCGAAUCAGCUGAGACCACAUCCUUUAGAAGAAGUGCUGUGGAUAGUGGAUAUGUCAGCCGUUCAAAGUAUCAGGGAUUCCUCUCCGAUAUAAUCCUACUUAAAAAGAUGAGGCUAAGCUUUCUUGUUAAGAACAAAGCAGUUCUUUAGGAAACAAAAACACAGCCACUGGGAACAGGGGAAAACAGACUGCGACGUGUACACAUAUGCACACAUCUGUGGGGUACAUGUACAUACCACAUAGAAUAAGCCAAGAAGAAAAUUCUGCAUCUUUGGGAGACAGAGGCUAAGAGCUAAAAUCAUUGGGAUGAAUGGGGCACCUGGGUGGCUCAGUCAGUUGAGCGACUUCGGCUCAGGUCAUGAUCUCGCUCGUGGGUUCAA